rnacentral:lncRNA from 1 species
GGUUAUACUCUGAAUCUCCCAUUCCCCACAACUAUUCCGUAUCUGAAAUCGAAAACUCCAAUAUCCCACUCACCACAGUUAUUCUUCCAUUGCUCACUCCUUUGCUCAUGCCUUCCAGUCCCUUGGCCUCUACUUUCUCCCAGGUCAUCAGCCCUCUCUUCAUCUUGCUUUCUUUCCUAUGCAGCCUAAACCACUGUAAUAGCUCUCUCACCAGCAUUCUCACCCAUCAACCCCUAGUUAUGCCACCAUAUCCACCCAACACAAGUCCCUGGCCUAGGAUGAGUUCAAACAUCUGCCUUGUCCCGGAGUUGAGUGUUGAUGGAGGAGAAAAUCUCACAGUGGUGUAUGUUGGUGCCACUACACAUAAGGGGUCUCCGAUGUCAGCUGAGCCCUAAAUACCAUACUGGUCUUCAUGGUUAGCCCACCAUCUUCACACAAUAGCUAUCUUAUAUCUUCCCCACACUGCCCCACACACCCCGCCCUGGCCAGUCCCUUCACCAACAGCAGAUUAACUCCUUUGAAAAAACAAAUACCAUUAGACAUGAACUCUUUUCACUUCCUCUCCUCACUUAUAAACUUUUCUUUAGUUGUUCCCCUGUCGCUACCCUCACACACAUCUUAGAAGAAACUGUGUCAUUUCUCCUGUCCAAGACUAAUAUAUUCACUUGUACUGUGAUCUCAUCCUUUCCUGGCUUCUUCUAGACUUCCUUGAUGAAUUAUCCCUUUUCUGUUAUCUUUAAUUUCUCCUUUGUUACUAGAUUCUUAGCUUAUAAGCAUCUAGCCUAUAUUAAAACAACAACAACAAUUCACCUUCAACUAGGCACCUUUUUCUAGUUGCUUCAUUUCUCUUUCCAUCAUUUUAUAGCCAGCUUCUCCUACAGAGUAGGCUAUACUCUGUAUCUACAUCUUCACCUCCCAUUCUUUUACUUCACCAUAACUCCAUAGAAAUUAUUCUUUAUAAUGUUACCAGGAACCUUAUAACUGAAAACUCAAAUAGACCUUUUGUGUCCAUAUUUUACUUGAUCUUUCUGGAGCAUGGUCAGUUCUUCCUCCUUGAAGAUUGAUAUGAAUCAGGAUAAGAUCAGCUCUACUGGUCAUUUCAAGCCCACUGAAGGUCAACUGGAGUCAGAGGACAAGAAACAGGAUGAAGGAAAGAAGACUGGACAGGAGGAAGAGAGAUGCAUAGUGAGAUGGGUUCCAGAGGUUCGGAGAGAGACAGGGCCUUGCUCUGUCACCCAGGCUGAAAUGCAGUGUUGCAAUCUUGGCUCGCUGUAGCCUCAAGCUCUUGGACUCAGGCGAUUCUCCUAUCUCAGCUUCCUAAGUAGCUGGGACUACAGGGCUCAGUGUGGUCAAAAGAAGACUAUAGAAUCAAGGAUGAAGAGAAGGAACACAGAAUAAAAGGACGUCUCAGCAGGAAGCUCUGUGACUACUAUGUCAAAUGAUGCCAUACAGUGAAGCACCUUGAAAGAUUGCUGGGAUAAGCUGACAGCAUGGCAGCCAAAAUAGUGACCCCAGGCUUGCAGGAAUUCUGUGCUUUCUGGAGGAAAUGGUCAUGGGUUUCCCAACCUGCCUUUUAAACUAAGGACCGAGCUGAAGAAGCCCCCGUCUUCCAGCGCAUGUUAUUCCCAUGACAGAUGCUAAAAGUUCAAGGGGAGAGCUACAAGAAGUGCGUUUUCCUGUGGCUACUUUCAUGUCUGGAUGCAAUGCCUAGACCUGCAUCCAUCUUGCGACCAACCUGAAGAUGAACAGAAAGGAAGGAAGGAUGGCCCAAUAGCCUGGGAAGAACUGGUGUUCCUGAUACCAUCAUUAACCACAGAAUCUACAAUCCCGGAACCCCCCAUCCUUAACCAUGGAAUCUACAAUCCUAUCUCUAGACCCUUUGUCCAGAUGCUACAGUUUCUUUGUUCAAUCUAGUUUGUGUCAGGAUUUCUGUUCAUUACAUCAAAAGUAUUCUAAUACUUGUAGCAAAGCAACUGGAGAAGUUUUCACUUUGUCUUUAACCAAAGAAGACUUCCAGGAAACAUCUCCUCAGUGGGUUUCUCCCUCACCACUGGAUUUUUAUCUCUGUACUAGUGCUUUGAUUUGUUUUAGGAGUCUCACCUCUCCACCUGUCAUAUUUCCCUGGCAGGCUCAUUUCUGCUAAUGCCCACAAUAUGUGUAUCAAUGAGCUUUCAACGUUAGGUACACAGCUCUUCAGGCAUGUAUAGCACAUUAAUCUGUCUGCUUCUAAGUGGUCUGUUGACAUGUUUGGGUGCCAGUUAUAUCUACAAGGCUGUGAUCAUUGUCCUGGGUUAUUCUGUUUGUUCUCUCUGCAGGAUGCAUUAGGACACCCAAGGCCAUGGCCAUCACUUACAUCUAGGAUUCAAUCUUAUCUCCUGUGAAUCACUGGAAACCUCCUGUCCUGGAACCCUUUUUUUCCACAUCCCACUGGAUGUCAUUCAUAGCAACUGGUCUUGUGGGUUGUCUAUUUUAUUGUGUUGUCUUACUCUUCCUCCUGGUAUCAGUUUUUAAAUCCUCUUGAUGAGAUCAGCUGAUCAGUCGCUAAGCAACAUAGUCCCCCAUGUCUUUGUAAGAUUCUCUGCACUCAUGGCUAGAAUGAUUUAUUCUGGUAUCUUAAGCUGUGUUUCAGAACCUCAUUCUAAAUAUCAACCUAUUCUUGUAAGUCCACUACUGAUCAUCUUUAGAUAUUCUUCAGUCUUCCAGAGUUCCAAAGGGCAGUAGGAAGAAGCAAUGAAAAUACCACCUGUAUUCUCACAUCUUUCAUUGUUCCACUCAAAAAAUACCACCAUGUUCACUUCUGGUGGAACGUUUAUGUCCAUGAGAAGCAGUGGCUUUGAAGAGUUUUGGCAGACUAUGGCGCCUUACUCAACAUUGGGAAGGUAUCUUGCCAUCAGACCUUUUGGGUCUCCAUGAAACUUCUUAUACCCCCUCUGGGAAAAGUCACUAACUGUGAUCUUACUGAGCUUCUAAACACAGCAUUUUUUUUACACUUAAGUGAGCGGGGGUCCUCCUCAUUUGUGCUUCUCUUCUUGUAAGGGUGACUUCCUCCCAGUAGGAUGAAUCUCAUGCCUAUUUGUGUUAUUUUGCUAAUUCCAGCUUCUUUUCUACUCAGGGGGGUUCCAACUCUUUUAAGGUCUCAUCUUCAGCACUUCUAAACUGUGGGAAACUAUGUGAAAACAAAUGGAGUGGCCAAACACACCAUUCAUCACUGUGCUUCUGGACAGCUGCAAGUCCAUACGUGUUCUGAUAAUUCAAUACAAGAAAGAAGAUUUGCUUGGGAAGGUCUGAAUGGCCCUAGCUUUGUUUGUUAACCAUAACCUCUACCAGCUGGAAACACAAUGCCCCACUAAUACUAACAGUGCCUGCUUGUCCAAACAGCAUUCUGGCCACUUACAGCAAUUGACACAAAUUCUAACAGGUAGAUGGGGCAAAGCAUUACCUUGUGUAAAACUGCUGCUAAAAUAUAUUCCUAGUGAGAAAGGUCAACUUGUGGGCUAAAGUCCUUGUCACCUCCUGAUCAGUUUUCACUUAGGGCACAGCAGUCUGCCAUUCACCAUUGGGAUCUCUGUGUGUUUCUUCUCUCUUAUGAAAGGACAUAUUGAGCGCUCUAGGACUUGGCUGCCUACAUCAAGUAGAGGGGGACCCUCAUGAUUCACUAAGGGGCCUCAGUUCUGAAUAUUUCUCAUUAUUCAAAAAUGCAAAGCCAUUGUCAUUACGUGGCAGUUUAUUGGAACCAAGGGAGGAAUUGGUCCCUUUUCAUGUUCUUCUCCUAAAUAGAGAAAAGGUAAUUAAAACUUGGAGCUUAAU